UACGUAGGCAGCAAGCGUUGUUCGGAGUUACUGGGCGUAAAGGGUGCGUAGGCGGCUUCUUAAGUCUGGUGUGAAAUCUCCCGGCUCAACUGGGAGGGUGCGCCGGAUACUGAGGGGCUAGAGUGUGGGAGAGGAAGUGGAAUUCCUGGUGGUAGCGGUGAAAUGCGUAGAUAUCAGGAGGAACACCGGUGGUGUAAACGGCUUUCUGGACCAUAACUGACGUGGAGGCACGAAAGCGUGGGUAGCAAACAGG
rnacentral:rRNA from 1 species